CUUUCAGUCAAGGGGGAGUAGCUUUAGGGAAACCUAUUUCAUAAUCGUCAAUACAUGGUUAGUAACCAUCGGUUAUGAUAGCGAUUUUAAUUGCUUAGCGAGACCUUUGCCUUUUAU
rnacentral:misc_RNA from 1 species